rnacentral:lncRNA from 1 species
CACAUUGAAUGUGCAUAAUUUUUUGUGAUUAUAUUUUUCUAUAAUUUUAAGCCAAUAAAAAUCCAAUAAGUACAAUUAAGUUUUUUUGAAAUUUUCAAUUGGUUAAUAAAACAUGUAUUGAAGAUGCAAAAAUAGAUCUUUUUGAAAUAAUAUUUUUUCUAGAAUAUGUAACUUUAUGAAAUGGAAGGAGUAAUUUGUAAUUGUUUUAAUUUUAAUACAAAUUUUAGAAUAUUGAAAUAACUUUUAUGUUAGUUUCUUAUUUUAUUCUGACCAAGUAGUAAAAUAAUAUAAUUUAUUCUACUUUCUCCUUUUAUUCAAAAUUUUGUUUGAAAAUCCAGAAGACACUCAUAAAUUGAAGUAUAAAUAACAUUGUUAAUUUGACGAUUGCAUGAGUUUUCUCGGUCGCACACCCAUCAAA